GUGCUCACUUUAGCAACACAUAUAUUACAAUUGGUGUGAUACAUAGAUUAGCAUGGUCCCUGUGCAAGAAUAAUAGGCAAAUUUGUGAAGUGUUCCAUAUUUUU
ensembl:snRNA U6 U6 spliceosomal RNA